UUUUAGGAAGAAGCACAAUCCUCAGCGAAAUGCCAAAUGGUUGAUCUCUGUCUGUGGAAUUCUUCAGGAAUAAGAUUUGGAAAUUCAAGAAUACAGCCACACCGCUAGUGUUCCCCUGAGACCAUAAGGAAAAAGCAAUUUCAUUUUGAGCAUAGUUAAUCCAGUGGGUUUGGAAGACAGACAGACUUGGAGGAUCCAACUUCCAUUUAUCAGCUAUGUGACUUUGGACAAAGAACUUUACACCUCAGUGCCAGAGCAUCUCAUCUAUAGAAUGAGAAAAGUGACGAUGCUUGUCUCCUGGAGCAUUAGGACAUUGAAGAAACACACUAAAUGUUCAUUAAAGGAAUAAGUAAGUGAGGGGCGCCUGGGUGGCACAGCGGUUAAGCGUCUGCCUUCGGCUCAGGGCGUGAUCCCAGCGUUAUGGGAUCGAGCCCCACAUCAGGCUCCUCUG